AAGUGGAAUCAGGUGUGUUCGUGCUGGGCUAAGUCACAAGCCUGCUCCCACACCGGCCCUUACAGCACUGGCCCCACACAGCUCUGCCUCGGGACCAGGCUGAAGGCCCUGUCUCCUCGCCCCGCACCCUGGAGAGCGUGGGCGUCUGAGUUUCACAGCCUGCAGGGAGGGACUGGAGCACAUGGCCCAGGUGCUGCAGUUACCUGUGUGCAGCUACUUCAUGGCCAAGAGCUACAACUGAACAUCACAAGCAAGCAAAGGAAAAGAAGCCUUACGUCUGCAAUGCAGCUGACCAACCACUAGGGGCAGUGUGUGCGCAUGGUCUUCACCCUGCUUGGAGACUAGGAGAUGGCAGCAUCCACAGGUCCAUCGCACCUAGAGGUCACGGGCCAAGUACCCCAACAAAUGCCCC